GUCACCUCGGUAUGUGACCAAGCCACAGGCUCCCCUAAGCAACGAACAUCACGGUUGCCUGUGAAAGGCAACAAGUGGUGACCCCCGAUGUGAUGCUUAGGGGAACGAGUCGGCUGUCUGCUUGAUGGGGCAGGAGCCCACCGCAGGGCGUUAGGACUUGCUGGGCGGUGGAAGCCCGGGGACAAGGCCGGGGACAGAGGGAAUCUGCAGUCACCCCUCUGUCGGUGGAGGUCGCGGACGAGCGACGAAUAUAGCCUCCGGGAUCACGCCGGAGAAGAGCCUGGGAUCCUGGUCUCAAUUGGGAGGAGGAUCGGAGGCGACAUGGAAACCAUCAUAAAGUUUCUUGCAGGGGCCGUGAGGAGACGGAGCCGCCAAUGACCGUUGGCAAGAUGGCGCCGGCUGAGCCGACCGCGCUCAGUUCAAAAGAAGACAAACAACAAGAGAGUGAAUGUUUGUUGUCUCGUCCCCCUCCCCCGUAUCCGAACCCCUCAGGCGGAACGUUGUAUCCUUUAUCAGAAUUACGUCAGUGUUACCUGAUUCAAGGGGGCGGAGGAAGCUGUGAUCUACAUGGGCAGGAUCAACUUAGUGCCCACAUGGGGAGGGACCAGACAAAAGGUCCGUCCAAUGCGGACAGGGGGCAUAGCCUACCGUCUCUGGUCACUCCCAGGAGUGAUAGUGUAGAGGAGAAAGAAGGGACUGGCUUUGAGUGCAGGGGGAGGGAUCAAAUGACGGACUGGAAUGGGAUUAGAUCGGAGGCUUUGGGGAAGGGUAUAGUUCCAGAGGCAUUCCGGGUGAUUGUGAGUGAUCAUGGUCCCGAAUGGGUGCCGCCUGACCCCGGGGGUGUUACGCGCCUGGUGGAAUUUAUGGAUAAAAGAGGCCUGAAAUCGCCUCUGACAUUAAAUGCACUACAAACUUUGGCUGCACUGGGGCCUCUCCUCCCCCGUGACAUCACAAACUUAAUGCGUAUGGUGCUCAGGCUGGUUCAAUAUACGUUAUGGGAGACGGACUGGAUGGCCGAGCUGGGGGGUCGUGCCGGGGCGACAGGGGACAGCCCAGGCCGCUCCCUGCAUGAGAUCGGCAUACAGCAGCUUUCAGGGAAGGCCGUGGGAGUGGCUUCGCCCCAGGGCCAGCUAGCGAGACUAAGGCCAGGGGAGCUAAUAGCAGCCACAGAUGCAAUGGUGGAAGCGUUUAAUAAACUUGUGCAUAAGGCCGAACCACCUGCUCCGUGCACAGAUAUUACCCAGGGCCCGAAUGAAUCCUUUCAAAGCUUUACAGACAGGCUUUUAGCUGCUGCAGAGGGGUCUGAUCUCCUGGAGCCAGCCCAAGGGCCAGUGAUCAUUGACUGCCUGCAGCAGAAAUCGCAUGACAAUGUUAAGGCAUUUCUGCGAGCCGGCCGAAGUACGCUUAAUACCCCGGGAGAAGUUAUUCAGUAUGUCUUAGAUAAGCUCAAGGUGGCUCAUUUAACUAAUGAAGGGCUAGCCACAGCUAUUGUCGUAGCUGUUGGCCUGCAACAGCAAAGAUCGCUGCAGCAGCAAGGGCUGUGUUUCCGAUACGGCCAGUAUGGCCACGUUAGAGCACAGUGCCCCUGUGGGGGAGGCCAGUGAGGGCCUCCUGAUCACAGGAAGGGCUUGCUAAAGGGUAUCCGUCGUCGGGUAUGUGGCAGUUAAACAUCAUGAAUCUGGGAAAAUUCUGUGGGUACCAUCACGAAAAGUAAUACCAGAUAUAAGUGACAUAUCUGCAAAAAGUGUGUCUAGGUGCGAGUUUUUACAGAAAUUCUUCGUUGGCAAACCGAAGCCAACUCCAGAACAACUGAGGGACAGACGAUGGGAUCGAGAAGCAUUCAUCAAGAGGAGCACUACACCUGCAACGCUGACACUUCCGAUGUUGCCGAUGUUUAUGGUGUCCCUGGCGAUUACAGCAUGUUGCAAACAACUACAAUGGACGCAAGAACAUACGCAGAAGAUUAAAGAAGAGCGUGAUCCCUUUGGAAACUGGCUGAGCAGACUGUUUGGGGGAACGGGUUCAUGGUUAAAGCAAUUGCUUAAGGUUUUUGCGAUAGGGUUUGCAAUCUUUGUGUGUAUUCUAAUCUGUCUUCCACGCUUUGUAGGAUGCUUGUAGAACUGCCUUCAGCGAAUUAUGGAGAAGACUUUUGACUAUCAGAUUGAGUAUCAUAGAUUGCGUGAAAAGUUGUAGAAGGGUUUAGGUUGUUGCGUUCAUGCUGUAACGGGGCAAGGCUUGGCCGAGCACGGGAAAGGAUUCCCUGUUGCUCUGAUGUUUGCUUAAGAAUUGUAGAAAGUAGUAGGAAUAGUGUGCUGAAAUAUAUUUAGGAUUAGGCGUUUUGCGCUGCUUCGCAAUGUACGGGUUAGGCAUGUGUGUAAGUAGUAUUUAGCUUAGGGAGGGGGAGAUGUUGUAGUAGGCGUCUUGCGGGGGCACAGGAUGUACGGGACAGGCCUCUCUCUAAGCAUAGAGAGACAGUGCUAUCGUGCUGACCUUGAUGCAGAGAAAACAGGAGAAGAAGAAGAAUGAGAAAAGAAUGUGGAGACGGCCAAAUAGGGCAUGAUGUUGUCUGGUAUGAACCAAUCAGAGUGGGACAUGACAGCACGGUUUUGUAGGUAAAAAUGUAAUAUAAGCUGUGUUUUAGUAGUGAAUAGAGGCCAUUUUACCGCUCAUCAUAUUGGUGUCACCUCGGUAUGUGGCCAAGCCGCAGGCUCCCCUAAGCAACGAACAUCACGGUUGCCUGCGAAAGGCAACACUGACAAAAGUUGAAAUAUUCUGAUUUCACUCAAGUAUCAUCUAUCUGAAAAAUUCAAGGGCAUUUCAAGAAUAGAACAUUCUGUUUUCAUACUCCUAAUCUGAAAGCCUGUAGUUCUUCUU
ensembl:lncRNA